AUGAAUGAUAAUUCUGUAAAUUGGCGCUUUACGGGUUUCUAUGGUUAUCCGGCAUGGUAUGAAAAAUAUUUAUCUUGGGCAGAUCUUCGCCAACUGCAUUCCCUUGCUGAUUAUCCUUGGGUAGUCAUUGGAGAUUUUAAUGAAAUUAUCUACUCUAGCGAAAAAGAAGGUGGCAAUGCUAGACCAAAUAAAAUGAUGCAGGAAUUCCAUAAGUGUUUGAGUGAUUGUAACCUGGAGGAUAUGGGCUCUGUUGGUGAUCCAUUCACUUGGAGAAGGGGGGACAUCCGUGAAAGGCUUGAUCGAGCUGUAUGUAAUAUAGAAUGGGCAAACAAAUUUCCGCGUGCGGCGAUUAUUAAUGGGGAGCAUGUACACUCAGACCAUCGUCCGUUAAUUCUUGACACAGAUUAUUUUGAUAGUAACUUGUUUAAUCGUCGGAAUGGUCGUGUGAGACAAUUUGAAGCAAAAAUGGCUGAAAGAAGAUACUGUUGA
rnacentral:rRNA from 1 species